CGGACGUAAGAAAUGCAUAUUGGGACGGAGCGUCCAGACGCGGCGAGUGUCCACAUUCGCGGGGGGGGGGCCGCCAUCUUGGUAGGCAAACUUCGUUGCCUUCUUAAAUCCCAAAUUGAAACCGAAAAAACAUCGAAAAUUAUUCUCCACAGGUUUCCAAAGGCCGAGGAUAAGAGACUAAAAUGGUUUGAAUGUACAAAAUUACCAUUAACAUCGUUACCUACGAUUGCAUACCUCUGCUCUGUACAUUUCGUAGAGGACAGUUUUGACCGUACUUCCCUUAGCUGCACAAGGCUGAAAAGAGACGUUAUUCCAGCAAUAAACAUUAUAAAUACUGGAAAACCAGACAACUUGAGUGAACAUGAACAUGAGCAUGUAUAACAAGUCCAACAAGACGUGUAUCCAUCAACGUCAAAAACAAUAGAUGAAGAAAUACCUGAGGAAAUAUUUUUAAUAUUAUAUGAUUCCAGAUGCGGAAAAACUGAUGCCAAUACCAGAUCAGACUUACUAAAGACACAGUUCGAGAGUACACCAAAACGCAUUCACAAAUGUGAUGUAACAACCAAAUGUAAGCCACAAAAGCGUCAAUGUAUUCAGUCAGCAUUGUGUGAACAAACCGUUCAGGGAACACAAGUUAAAUCAGAGAGUUCAUCGGAAAUUACGAAUGAUACGUGUCUGUCAAAGUCACCGUUUCUGAUAAACCAACAAAAUAACGAGACCUUAAGUGAUUCCCGAGGCCAACUACAGGAUACUCCUAGAAAAAUACUUCUGCGUAAAACGUUAAAAGCUCAACAAGAUAAAUUACGACGGCAGAUACAAACACUCAAAAAACGAAAUCAGCGGCUAGAAAAAAAAAUUACUGUCCUUAAUUUGAUUUUAAAUGAAUUAAAAGCAAAACAGAUGCUUGACGAGGAGCAGCUUGAUUUACUAAAGACUAUUGGUACGUCAAAUGCACAUCUUUUGAAACGGUUUGUGGGAAAACAUACAGACAAAAAGUGUGUGUGCACGAAAAAUGGUGAACUGAUUUCACGGGAACAUUCACCAGAACUUAGAACUUUUGCUGUAACUUUACAAUAUUACUCCCUCCGAGUAUACAAUUAUGUACAUAAACAUUUUGAUUCGUGCUUGCCGCAUCCAAAAACCAUUAGUAGUUGGUAUCGCUCAAUCAACUGGAAUCCGGUUUUUAUUGACGAAGCUUUCGCAUGUAUUGCAGAGCGUGUGAAAGUCGUCAAUUAUCAGUCGGUCGGCACUUUUGUAUUUGACGAAAUGUCCAUUAGGCAGCACGUAGAAUACGAUGGCAAGAAAUACAGUGGAUACGUAGAUUUUGGAGUCAAUAUUGUAAAUGACCAUAGUACAGUUGCAAAAGAUGCAUUAGUCUAUUUGUCUGCAUGAACUCUUCAUGGAAAAUACCAAUUGCAUAUUUUCUUAUAAAUGGUGUGAGUACUGACCAAAAAUGCAACCUUAUACUCCAAGAUAUAUCUUUGUUACACAACGCUGGUAUCAAGGUUGCUGCAUUAACAUUUGAUGGUGCACCAGCAAAUUUAUCUGUCGCAAAAAAACUUAACUGCAAUCUGAAUCCAAAUUUUUUACAGACUCAUUUCGAACAUCCGAUUACUCGUGAAAAAAUAUUUGCAUCCCCUGAUCCUUGCCACUUGAUAAAGUUAGUAAGAAAUACUUUCGGGGAAGUACAAAUUUUAUCAGAUGGUAAUGAUCAGAGAAUAAAAUGGGGAAUGAUCGAAGAGCUGCAUAAAUUGCAAACGAACGAAGGGAUGCAUUUCCUGAACAAGCUUCGUUCAACCCACGUACUCUUUCACAAGAACAAAAUGAAAGUUCGAUUCGCUACACAACUAUGCAGUACGUCUGUCAUCCAAUCUUUCAAGGUUUGUAGAGAAGACUUACAGCUACCGGAAUUUCAAAAUAGUUUGGCAACUGAAACGUUUUUGUCAAUUCUUAACGACCUAUUCGACAUUUUUAAUUCAAAAAAUAUGCGUCAGGUAAAUUCAAAAAAACCAAUCAAUGCAAACAACUGACAGCAAGUGUUCCAAAAAAUGGAGGAGUGUAAGGUCUACAUAUUAAAGCUAAAACUAUGCGAUGGUAAAAGAGUUGUUGACUCGUCGCGAAAAACAGGAUUUCUUGGUUUUCUAAUAUGUAUUAACAGCCUGCAGGGAUUGUAUAAGGACUUGUGUCAGAUGUCGAUAUUACUCGCAUAUAUUCCGACCUGUAAAAUAAGUCAAGACCACAUAGAAGUAUUCUUUGGAUGUAUUCGCUCGUAGGGUGGAUACAAUAAUAAUCCAACAACUCGUCAGUUCAAAUCAUCACUUGAGAAAUUAUUAAUUCAUUCUGAAGUUAGGGACACAGAUUCUGGAAAUUGCAUACCUCUUGAGCAAAUAACUAUUUUACACGUGUCUUCUGCUAAAUCUUCAGAGCAUGUUAUUAACAUGUCUAUCCCGUUUACCAGAACGUGUGAUCGAGAAAUCCCGCGCUUAGCAGAUUCAAAUGACAUCUUAAAUACUAUUGAAGAUCAUUCUUAUAUACCAGACAUUCGCUUUCUGACACAGCUUUCAAUGAGAGUCAUAGCUUACAUAGCAGGUUUUGUCGUUAGAAGUUUGAAAAAAAAACUUUGCUGUGUGAGAUAUGAAUCGAUGCUUUGUUGGGAGAUGAAAACUACGUAGAAUCAACCCUAAUUAAAAUUAAAACUCGCAGUGGCCUGCAGUUUCCAUCGAAGGAUGUUAUCCGGAUUUGUAAGGAUGCGGAAAGAAUUGUAAGGUGCACCCUAAAAGAAAGUGGUGGUAGGUUUAUGACAAACAAAUUCACUGAGAUGUAUCUUGUCAGCCGCACACUUUCGAAAUUCACAGAUUUUGAUGUAAUAUUUGAGCAUUUGCGGCAACGCGUAUACGACCAAAACUUUUUGGAAAAUCAUGACAUACAUUUAGCAAGAGCGAUACUGUCAAAUUAUAUCGAAGGAAGAUUAUUUUACAUUGGCAAACUAGCUGUUGAUAAUUCUAUAAGCGAAAGACACAAAUUCAACAAAUUAACUUGGUUCAAACGCCAGUAGUCAGUGGGCACAAGAAAUUUUUUACACAUGUGAAUAAACUUGUAUGAAUAAAAUACAAUGUGAUUUGAAAUAA